CCCUUAGAUGUUCUGGGCCGCACGCGCGCUACACUGAUGCAUUCAACGAGCCUAUCCUUGACCGACAGGUCCGGGUAAUCUUUGAAUCUGCAUCGUGACGGGGAUAGAUUAUUGCAAUUAUUAAUCUUCAACGAGGAAUGCCUAGUAAACGCAAGUCAUCAGCUUGCAUUGAUUACGUCCCUGCCCUUUGUACACACCGCCCGUCGCUACUACCGAUUGAACGUUUUAGUGAGGCAUUUGGACCGACGCAUCUCAGUUUAACCGCUGGUUUGUGUUGGAAAGACUUCCAAACUUGAGCGUUUAGAGGAAGUGAAAGUCGUAACA
rnacentral:rRNA from 1 species